rfam:Spinacia oleracea cultivar SynViroflay scaffold36155.con0009.1, whole genome shotgun sequence.
AUCCCAUGGUGUGGGCACUCCCUUUGAUACUCUUUAAACCGGUCCCAUGCCUCGAACAAUGAUUAAUCUCUCCGUUGUUCAAAUAAUUGGAUUUUAUUUCUAUAUU